rnacentral:rRNA from 2 species
ACGCUGGCGGCGUGCCUAAUACAUGCAAGUCGAACGCACUGACGUCGACCGAAGCUGCUUGCAGUGGACGUUGAUUGACGUGAGUGGCGGACGGGUGAGUAACACGUGGGUAACCUACCCUUAAGUGGGGGAUAACAUUUGGAAACAGAUGCUAAUACCGCAUAACCAUUCAGACCACAUGGUCUGAAUGUAAAAGACGGCCUUUGGCUGUCACUUUUGGACGGACCCGCGGCGUAUUAGUUAGUUGGUAAGGUAACGGCUUACCAAGACAAUGAUACGUAGCCGACCUGAGAGGGUAAUCGGCCACAUUGGGACUGAGACACGGCCCAAACUCCUACGGGAGGCAGCAGUAGGGAAUCUUCCACAAUGGACGAAAGUCUGAUGGAGCAACGCCGCGUGAGUGAAGAAGGUUUUAGGAUCGUAAAACUCUGUUGUUGGAGAAGAACAGGGACUAGAGUAACUGUUAGUCCUUUGACGGUAUCCAACCAGAAAGCCACGGCUAACUACGUGCCAGCAGCCGCGGUAAUACGUAGGUGGCAAGCGUUGUCCGGAUUUAUUGGGCGUAAAGCGAGCGCAGGCGGUUUUUUAAGUCUGAUGUGAAAGCCUUCGGCUUAACCGAAGAAGUGCAUUAGAAACUGGAAAACUUGAGUGCAGAAGAGGACAGUGGAAC